AGUGGCGUGCCAGCCCUCCAGGACUGCGACCACUCGCACUCUUCUUCUCCAGAGACCGACUGGUCACGGGAUGAAGAAAUGCAUGCGGCGGCAGGACCCAGUGGCAUGCCAGCAGUCCAGGAUUGUGACCCCUCGCACUUCCCAUCUCGCGAGACCAACUGGUCACGGGAAGAAGAAAGGCAUGCAGCGGCAGGUCCAGGUGGCGUGCCAGUCCUCCAGGACUGCGACCACUCGCACUCCCCUUCUGCAGAGACC